GAAUGUGAGGGCAAUCCGGCUGCCACAUCUGUCACCCCACUGAUCACUAGGGUUGAUUUGGCUGGUGUGGCUGGCUAGGCAGGGGUCCCCUUCCUCCCUUACCAUACCAUGUGCAUCUCUCGAAGAAGAAGGUAUAGGAGUAGCUAUGCUUUCCAGUCGGAACCUCCAAACAAGCUCUCAAGAACUUGAGUUGUCUCUCCCUGGAGGUUACACUGAAUCCCUCCAGGAGAUUGCACCCU
rnacentral:snRNA from 1 species